GCACUGCCCUAGGCACCCAUUGCCGCCCCAGCCACCUGCCGCCGCGUAUUUCAUGGAUUUGCAGCGUAUUCCAAUCAACAUUUGGUGCUACUUCCACUUCCGGAUGAGGUAAAGCUUCAUCAACAGCCCCAGGAGGUUCUACUACUGCUACACUAAGCUCAGGCUCGCCAUGGAGCCUAGUCAAAUCGAUUGAACAGACAAAAAAAAAUUCAGUUAGAUGGGAAACCAACUACGGUUCAGCACACUCGAGUUAGGAUGCCUAUGGCAUCACGACGAGCACGAGAAGGAAGAAAUCACUUACCCAACUAGGAGAUCAAUCCAAUCGCAGUUCAUGGUGCAGAUCCACAAUGCCCUUUGAACCAGACCUCUUCCAACCUAGAACUAGUUCUUGGUGGCAGAAUAGGAUGGGAGGGUGUGCCCUAGGAGCAUGGUUCAUCGGGGAACUUGGGCAGUGGCGGCAGGCUUGGGCGGCCACUGCAGAACCUAGGGGACGAC
rnacentral:lncRNA from 1 species